rnacentral:rRNA from 1 species
GCACACUCCUCCCGCCGCCGCUCGAGAGUUUGAUCCUGGCUCAGGACGAACGCUGGCGGCGUGCUUAACACAUGCAAGUCGAACGGUGAAGCCCAGCUUGCUGGGUGGAUCAGUGGCGAACGGGUGAGUAACACGUGAGUAACCUGCCUCUGACUCUGGGAUAAGCCUUGGAAACGGGGUCUAAUACUGGAUACGAGACGCUCGGGCAUCCGAAGUGUCUGGAAAGAUUUAUCGGUCAGAGAUGGACUCGCGGCCUAUCAGCUUGUUGGUGGGGUAAUGGCCUACCAAGGCGACGACGGGUAGCCGGCCUGAGAGGGCGACCGGCCACACUGGGACUGAGACACGGCCCAGACUCCUACGGGAGGCAGCAGUGGGGAAUAUUGCACAAUGGGCGCAAGCCUGAUGCAGCGACGCCGCGUGAGGGAUGACGGCCUUCGGGUUGUAAACCUCUUCAGCAGGAAGAAGCGAAAGUGACGUACUGCAGAGAGGCCCGGCCCC